GGACACUCUGAGGACAAACAAGACUUUACUGGAGGAAGAAAGGCGGUUAGCUACCAGCCCCAGAGACACGAUCGGUUUAGAUAUUCAUACCAGAGCCCUUAGGUACCAGACUGCAGGUUCCCUGCUGGUUCCUAGAGGUUCUAGCAGUAGAACAGGAGGCAGAUGCUUUAGUUAAUCGGCUCCUAAACCAGAUCCCAGUUUACCGAGGCAGACGCUCGUCUACUGGUUUAGGUUAUCCUGUGCCAUCUAUCGUUAUGCUACUUCAGGCUGCAUAAUGGUCAGUUUGUUUCUCCUCGUAUUCUCCAUUCAGGGAUCAUCUGCUGUCAUUGUGGUGGGUUGCCAGGUUUUACUUGCCCCCCUGCCAGUCUAGGCGUUGCUUGUUAUUAUUUUUUAUAAUUAUUUAAAAUAAUCUCUGUAGUGCAUGCGUCUCUGCGGUGCUCAGCCUUUCACCGGCAGAGCAGAAUCAUUCCUGAAAGGUUCACAGUUGAUGGUGAAACCGCACCAACCACAGGCGUCUCUGCGCUGGCGUUUACAUCUCAACCUGCUGCCCAGCGCAUGGCUCUGUUGUGUUCCUCAGUGGUUCAGCCUGAGCUGUUGCGCUGGCCUCAUAGUCACGCUCCACAUUGUUUUGCUUUGUUUCUCUUUCUUUUUGUUUUUUGUUUUUCAGCACCACAAUGCUUCAAACUGCACCACAUCAAAUGUCAUCCCUACCUCUGGUCAGGUAGAGUUGCUCUAUGGAGAUCAGAAAAAACUUGUUCCUGGGCAACCAAAACAAAUAUUCUCUGUGCUUAUUAAAAACUCAGGAAACAUAAAGUUUGGUCCCUACUAGUGCUUCAUAAAUUAAAUCUCCUUGUUUAUUUAUUUUAAUUGUAUUUUUAUGGUUUGUGUUUUAAGACUGUAGCUGUGGAUUUAAGCGUUGUGAACGAUGUAUUCCAGAAACAUUCCUGUUAACGUAGCAUCUUUUAAUUCAAAAACAUGGUGGACUGCCUCGGCCACCGGGCUCAGCUAGUUUUCUGGGGGAAACUCUGCACUGUAACAAUUAACUUUAUGUUUCCUUUCAGUCCAAAUGCAGAUUGAACCAACUGGAUCAAGCCCAACUCUGACAGAACCGAGCCCA